rnacentral:rRNA from 1 species
AACAAACGCUGGCGGCGUGCCUAAUACAUGCAAGUCGAACGGGGAAAGCUACUUCGGUAGCCGUACUAGUGGCGCACGGGUGAGUAACAAGUGGAUAAUCUACCCUUUGGCGGGGAAUAACUAAUCGAAAGGUUAGCUAAUACCGCAUAAGACCACAGUUUCUACGGGAACAGGGGUUAAAGGCUUCGGCCACCAAAGGAUGAGUUCGCUUCCGAUUAGCUUGUUGGUGAGGUAAUGGCUUACCAAGGCUACGAUCGGUAACUGGUUUGAGAGGAUGAUCAGUCACACUGGAACUGAGACACGGUCCAGACUCCUACGGGUGGCAGCAGUAGGGAAUAUUGCGCAAUGGGGGAAACCCUGACGCAGCGACGCCGCGUGAGUGAAGAAGGCUUUCGGGUUGUAAAGCUCUGUUCUUGGGGAAGAAAAAAAUGACGGUACCCAAGAAGAAAGGACCGGCUAACUUCGUGCCAGCAGCCACGGUAAUACGAGGGGUCCUAGCGUUGUUCGGAAUCAUUGGGCGUAAAGCGGGUGUAGGCGGUCUUAUAAGUCAGAAGUGAAAGCCCCAGGCUCAACCUGGGAAGUGCUUUUGAAACUGUAAGACUUGAGUGUGGGAGAGGAAAGUGGAAUUCAUGGUGUAGUGGUGAAAUACGUAGAUAUCAUGAGGAACUCCGGUGAGGAAGCUGGCUUUCUGGCCCAACACUGACGCUCAGACCCGAAAGCGUGGGUAGCAAACAGGAUUAGAUACCCUGGUAGUCCACGCCGUAAACGAUGGAUACUUGGUGUCGGAGGUAUUGACCCCUUCGGUGCCGUAGCUAACGCGUUAAGUAUCCCGCCUGGGGAGUACGGUCGCAAGAUUAAAACUCAAAGAAAUUGACGG